AAGACUUUAAGUUAAAUUUAAACUGUUAGCCUUCAAAGUUAUCUAUAUCUUAAGACAAGGUAAGUCUUA
rnacentral:tRNA from 1 species